AUGGACACUCAGAAGAAUGUUCAACCCCCAGAGCAUCAACCAAUGACACAUAUCUGUGGGAAAUGUCACACGGAAAAUUUCAUAAAAUCCAGGGAUCCGGUCAGAUGCAGAGAUUGUGCAUACAGAAUAAUGUACAAGAAAAGAAUUAAAAGAUGGGUGGCUUUUGAUACUCAAUGA